UUCCGGUUGAUCCCGCCAGACCUGACUGCUAUCGGAUUGAUACUAAGCCAUGCGAGUCAUUGUAGCAAUACAAGGCAGACGGCUCAGUAACGCGUAGUCAACCUACCCUAUGGACGGGGAUAACCUCGGGAAACUGAGAAUAAUACCAGAUAGAACAUUAUACCUGGAAUGGUUUAUGUUUCAAAUAAUUUAUUGCCGUAGGAUGGGACUGCGGCCUAUCAGUUUGUUGGUGAGGUAAUGGCCCACCAAGACUAUUACAGGUACGGGCUCUGAGAGGAGUAGCCCGGAGAUGGGUACUGAGACACGGACCCAGGCCCUAUGGGGCGCAGCAGGCGAGAAAACUUUGCAAUGUGCGAAAGCACGACAAGGUUAAUCCGAGUGGUUUCUGCUAAAGGAACCUUUUGUUAGUCAUAGAACCACUAAUGAAUAAGGGGUGGGCAAGUUCUGGUGUCAGCCGCCGCGGUAAAACCAGCACCACAAGUGGUCAGGAUGAUUAUUGGGCCUAAAGCAUCCGUAGCCUGCUUUGUAAGUUUUCGGUUAAAUCCAUACGCUCAACGUAUGGGCUGCCGGAAAUACUGCAAAGCUAGGGAGUGGGAGGGGUGGACGGUACUCGGUAGGAAGGGGUAAAAUCCUUUGAUCUAUUGAUGACCACCUGUGGCGAAGGCGGUCUACCAGAACACGUCCGACGGUGAGGGAUGAAAGCUGGGGGAGCAAACCGGAUUAGAUACCCGGGUAGUCCCAGCUGUAAACUAUGCAAACUCAGUGAUGCGUUGGCUUGUGGCCAGUGCAGUGCCGCAGGGAAGCCGUUAAGUUUGCCGCCUGGGAAGUACGUACGCAAGUAUGAAACUUAAAGGAAUUGGCGGGGGAGCACCACAAGGGGUGAAGCCUGCGGUUCAAUUGGAGUCAACGCCGGA
rnacentral:rRNA from 1 species